GCCUGCCCAGUGACCACAUUAAACGGCCGCGGUAUCCUAACCGUGCAAAGGUAGCGUAAUCACUUGUUCUUUAAAUAUGGACUAGUAUGAACGGCCCCACGAGAGCUUGGCUGUCUCCUUUCUCUAAUCAGUGAAACUAAUCUCCCCGUGAAGAAGCGAGGAUAAAUCUAUAAGACGAGAAGACCCUAUGGAGCUUUAAACAACACAUCAUUUACCACUAAAAUUUCUUUAACUAAAUCAUUGGACAACAUGACUGUACGUUUUUGGUUGGGGUGACCGCGGAGUAAAACAUAACCUCCACAUUGAAUGAUUCUUUAAACCAAGAACAACCUAUCUAAGAAUUACUAUAAUAACACCCAUUGACCCAAUACACUUGAACAACGAACCAAGUUACCCUAGGGAUAACAGCGCA
rnacentral:rRNA from 1 species